GACGAACGCUGGCGGCGUGCCUAAUACAUGCAAGUCGAGCGGACGAAUCGAAAGCUUGCUUUUGAUUCGUUAGCGGCGGACGGGUGAGUAACACGUGGGCAACCUGCCCUGUAGACGGGGAUAACACCGAGAAAUCGGCGCUAAUACCGGAUAACACGAAAUGUCGCAUGACGUUUCGUUGAAAGGCGGCGCAAGCUGCCGCUACAGGAUGGGCCCGCGGCGCAUUAGCUAGUUGGUGAGGUAACGGCUCACCAAGGCGACGAUACGUAGCCGACCUGAGAGGGUGAUCGGCCACACUGGGACUGAGACACGGCCCAGACUCCUACGGGAGGCAGCAGUAGGGAAUCUUCCGCAAUGGACGAAAGUCUGACGGAGCAACGCCGCGUGAGCGAAGAAGGCCUUCGGGUCGUAAAGCUCUGUUGUUAGGGAAGAACAAGUAACGCAGUAACUGGCGUUACUGUGACGGUACCUAACGAGAAAGCCACGGCUAACUACGUG
rnacentral:rRNA from 1 species